rnacentral:rRNA from 1 species
AACGAACGCUGGCGGCAUGCCUAACACAUGCAAGUCGAACGAGACCUCCGGGUCUAGUGGCGCACGGGUGCGUAACGCGUGGGAACCUGCCCUUAGGUUCGGAAUAACUCCCCGAAAGGGGUGCUAAUACCGGAUAAUGUCUUCGGACCAAAGAUUUAUCGCCUUUGGAUGGGCCCGCGUUGGAUUAGCUUGUUGGUAGGGUAAAAGCCUACCAAGGCGACGAUCCAUAGCUGGUCUGAGAGGAUGAUCAGCCACACUGGGACUGAGACACGGCCCAGACUCCUACGGGAGGCAGCAGUGGGGAAUAUUGGACAAUGGGCGAAAGCCUGAUCCAGCAAUGCCGCGUGAGUGAUGAAGGCCUUAGGGUUGUAAAGCUCUUUUACCCGGGAUGAUAAUGACAGUACCGGGAGAAUAAGCUCCGGCUAACUCCGUG